rnacentral:rRNA from 1 species
UAAGUGAAGAGUUUGAUCCUGGCUCAGAGUGAACGCUGGCGGUAGGCCUAACACAUGCAAGUCGAACGGCAGCACAGGAGAGCUUGCUCUCUGGGUGGCGAGUGGCGGACGGGUGAGGAAUACAUCGGAAUCUACUCUGUCGUGGGGGAUAACGUAGGGAAACUUACGCUAAUACCGCAUACGACCUACGGGUGAAAGCAGGGGAUCUUCGGACCUUGCGCGAUUGAAUGAGCCGAUGUCGGAUUAGCUAGUUGGCGGGGUAAAGGCCCACCAAGGCGACGAUCCGUAGCUGGUCUGAGAGGAUGAUCAGCCACACUGGAACUGAGACACGGUCCAGACUCCUACGGGAGGCAGCAGUGGGGAAUAUUGGACAAUGGGCGCAAGCCUGAU